AGAAAAAAAACGUCUCGCGAGUUUUCAUUUUCCAACGAGACUAACAGCCGCCAUUUUCGUGGAGUAAGCAGUCAGUAAAGUGCAAAAAAGUCUUUUCGUAGUAAUUUCUGCUUUUGUCGAUUUGUUUAUCUCAUACGGCAAAAGCUACAUUUAACUGGUUGAUAGCAGCGGUUCUAGGAAAAUACAGAUAUAUAUUUAUCGUUACAGGUCACACGAUCUCACGUUUCUCUCCUGCACUGGUGCUGUCGGGCCUUUUUGCACAUUUUCGGUACCCUCAUUGCAACUUGCUUUUGGGAAACAAAUUAGUUAUAUUCUGUUUCAUUUGAUUCAACGUUGCUGGGGCUGAGCCCUGAAAACAUUGUAGAGGGCUGACCACUUUCUAAAAUGAUAAUAGAAAACCUUGAGGCUCUAAAGUCGUGGCUCUCAAAGACGCUUGAACCCAUAUGUGAUGCUGAUCCAUCUGCUCUUGCUAAAUAUGUUGUUGCCUUAGUUAAAAAGGAUAAAACCGAGAAAGAACUUAAAGCAUUAUGCUUAGACCAGUUGGAUGUAUUUCUUCAGAAAGAUACCCAGAUUUUUGUCGACAAACUUUUCAAUGCUGUGAAUUCAAAGAGUUAUCUACCUCAGUUUGAGCAGCCUUCAUCGACGACUGUAAGAACAGAACCUUUUCAACACCCAGAGAAAGAUGAUGUAAAAAAAGAUGAGCAGGUAAAUAAGGAAGAAGAGAGGGACACAAAAAAAUUCCCCAGAAGAAUAAAUCACAGCCCCCAGCAGUCCAGCUCACGGUACAGAGACAGCAGAAUUCGGGAUGACCGAAAAAAGGACGACCGCUCUCGAAAAAGGGAUUACGAGCGAAAUCCUCCAAGGAGAGACUCCUACAGGGAUAGGUACAACAGGAGGAGGGGUCGCAGCCGCAGUUACAGCAGGAGUCGCAGCCGCAGCAAAGACAGGCCUCGUGACCGGGACAGAAGCAGAACAAGAAGCCGAAGCAGAACAAGCAGAGAAAGGGACACUGGUAAAUCCAAGUAUGACCUAGACAGAACAGAAAGAACCGAGCCUUCAGAGAACAAUUAUACGUCAGCAUCAUUGGUUUCAUCUGAUCACUAUCCUGUCCCAGCACUCAGCAGUACUAUCACUGUUAUAGCACCAACUCACCAUGGCAACAACACUAGCGAAAGCUGGUCAGAAUUCCAUGAAGAUCAAAUAGAUCAUGGCUCAUAUGGGAGAGGGCCACCACCAAAGAAACGCUGCAGGGAUUAUGACGAAAAGGGAUUCUGCAUGAGAGGAGAUAUGUGUCUGUUUGACCAUGGAAGUGACCCAGUGGUUGUGGAAGAUGUCAAUCUCCCAGGCAUGCUACCUUUUCCAGCACAGCCCCCUCCUGUUGAAGGACCUCCCCCUCCUGGCCUUCCACCACCUCCCCCCAUGAUGACGCCACCUCCUAUAAAUUUAAGACCGCCAGGUCCCCCUCCCAGUCCUUUACCUCCAAGCCUUCCACUGGUAACAGGGCCUCCACCACCUCUUCCUCCUCUCCAACCUCUCCAGCCCUCUGGCAUGGAUGCACCCCCAAACUCCAUUACAGGUUCUGUACCUCCAAUUGUGACCUCUGUGAUUCGUCAUCCACCACCUCAAGCUCAGCCCGCUCUCUUCACUUCAGAAACAUAUGAACCUGAUGUAUAUAAUCCUGAAGCACCAAGCAUAACCAGCACUUCAAGACCUGUGUAUAGACACAGAGUACAUGCGCAAAGACCAAACCUAAUAGGGCUGACAUUGGGGGAAGUGGAUCUUCCACCAAGAGAAAACCCUGCUAACAACAGCAUGAGAAUAAUGGUGGAAUCAGAGUCCAGAAAAAGAGCAACAGGGGCGGUAGACAGUGGGAUGCUUACUAAGAAACCCUGGUUUGACAAGCAAAAUUUCAGUAACGCUAAUAACCUAGGAUUCCAGAAGAAGAUGCAGUUUGGAGCUGAAAAUACAAAGCUAGAAGUAAGGAAGAUUCCUUUGGAGCUCAAUAACAUCCGCAAGCUUAAUGAACACUUCUGCAAAUUUGGCACUAUUGUUAAUCUCCAGGUGGCUUAUAAGAGUAAUCCUGAAGGUGCCCUUAUUCAGUUUUCCAGUCAUGAAGAGGCUAAGAGAGCUAUAUCCAGCACCGAAGCUGUGCUUAACAAUCGCUUCAUCAAGGUAUUUUGGCAUCAAGAAGACCUUGCACCCCAACUGCAGCCUACGGCACAACAGGUGCAUCAGACUUCAGCACAGCAACCCAGUGUGUCAGCACUCAAACAGUCUGUAAAAGAUAGAUUGGGUCCUAUACCAACAACCACUACAGAGCCAACUCAGCCACAACCUUCAAACACAGUCUCCACUCCGAAUACCAGUAAACUUUCUGUGAAAGAAAGGUUGGGUUUUUGUUCUAAACCAUCAGCAGUCGCAAAUCAAACGGUGCUGUCUACUUCUAUGGGCCUUACAAAAACUGUUUACAACCCUGCUGCCCUGAAGGCAAUACAGAAAACAAUGCCUUUUGUGAACACUGGUGUUGCAGACCACAGUGAAGCCCUGAAAAAGAAACAGGAAGCAUUAAGGCUUCAACAUGACGUAAGAAAAAAGAAGCAGGAAAUAGUGGGAAAACACAUUGAAACCCAAAAGAUAUUAAUCUCAAAACUGGAGAAAAACAAAACCAUGAAACCAGAGGACAAGGCUGAAAUCAUGAAAACCCUGAAAACUCUGACAAACAGCAUAACCAAACUGAAAGAUGAACUGAAAGCAAUCUCAAGUGGCAUUCCUCACAAAACAAUGAAAACCAAGGCUCAGAUGCAAAAAGAGCUGCUGGAUUCAGAGUUAGAUUUGUAUAAGAAGAUGCAAGCUGGGGAAGAUGUUGCACAACUGAGGAAAAAGUACACAGAACUUCAGCUAGAGGCUGCCAAAAGAGGAAUCUUGUCGUCUGGACGUGGUAGGGGGGGACAUGCCCGGGGACGUGGGGCACUUAGAAGCCGUGGCAGAGGAAUGCGUGGAAGGGGAAGAGGGGCCCCACUGCAUGCGGUGGUGGACCGUCGCCCAAGAGCUUUAGAGAUCUCUGGUUUUACUGAACCUGAUAGAGAAGACUUGCUUCCUUAUUUUGCACAAUUUGGUGAAAUUGAAGACUGGCAGAUUGACGACUCGUCUCUUAAUGCUGUCAUUACCUACAGGACAAGGGCAGAAGCGGAGGCUGCUGCCGUUCAUGGGGCUCAGUUCAAAGGUCAGGACCUUAAACUGGCAUGGCAUAAGCCUGUCACCACCCUUACUAGUGCUGAUCCUGAGGAAGCAGAACCCGAUGAAGAGGAGUUUCAGUCGGAGUCCUUGCUAGAUGAUGCUUUACUUCAAGAUGAUGAUGAAGAAGAUGAUGACAAUGAAUCUCGGGCAUGGAGAAGAUAAUUUACCAGACCCUGACGCAUGGCUGUCAGCACCUACACCAGACUGCUUAUCUGACUUGUUUUGAAAUACUUUUUAACAGCUAGUAGUGUGUUUGACUAGAAAUUAAUGAAGAUUUAAGUUUAUAAAAAUGCAAGCAGAAGUACAUCUUUGUGAGUUAUGUUUGAGACGAUUGUAAAUAUUGUAGGAGGCACACAUGUAAAGCUUUUCUUUUUUUUAUUCUUCUGUAAUGUACAAUGUUACAUGACCUUUAAAGAGUACUUUUUUUUUCUUUUUACCAAUUUGGUCUAUUACUAGUGACCAAAUUUGUUUUAUUGAGAGAGUGGUUCCAUGUUAUUAUGGAAUGAGGUUACAUUGGAUAACUUUUAUGAAUGUUCAUGAGUUCUGAGACAACCACAAACGUACGUUGGGUAUUUGGGGGAAAAAAUAAGUUACUUUGCAUAGUAGGCUUUACUAUGUAUAGUAACAACCGUUUUGGUUGUUGAGUUUUGUGUACGUGUUUUACGUAUUGGAUUUUAAUGAUGCAUUGUAUGACCGAUCUGCUUCCAAGUCUCUUGACUUUUUUUUUUUUUUUGAGAUGUAAAAAAUAAAGAAAUGGAAUGGUCUAUAACAUAAAAGCAAAAGACAAAACAAAGCAAUAACAAAAAAAGGCAAUUGAAAAGAUUAACAGAAAAAAAAAAAAAAUUAAGACCAUUCCAAACCCCCCACCCCUAUGUUCACAAAAAGAGCUGAAAUCCAUUUUACCCCACCACUGAGCUAUGGUGGCACACACAUCUACACAAGCUGGAAGUCAUUCAGAGCAGUAAGUAUGUGCCUAGAGGAGGUUCAAACUACAACUGGAGACCAGAGGGAAGAACCUGCUACAGCUGACCUGUUGCCACAAGAAAAAUGCCAAGCACAUAUUUCAUAAAAAUAAAGCAGGUGAUUUAUCUAUUUACUUUACCCUUUCCAGAUCUAAUUGACACAUGUACGAAGACCAAUGCCCCAAAGUAUUACACUAUAUAAACUCCUGAGCCUCGCCUGUGUUUGAUUGUUUAUAUCAGAAUGUAAUUCACAGUUUUGUAAUUUAGAACAGUAGACCAGUGAUUUAUUUCUGUCAUUGAAUUCAUUGUGUAAGUGUACCUUACAUUAGUGCUGUGUUCAAGGGGAACUAAAAAAACAGUAAGUGAUUUUUUUUCUUUUUUUCUCAAAUUAUGCAAAUACACAUUUUCUCUUGGGCCCAGCUCCCAAUGUCUCUACUUUUAUUAAGACUAAAUUUUUCUAAAGUUUUCUUCAGUGUAUAUUUUUACCUUUCUAACACUUGCUGUUUUGAUUUUCAGUUCAGCCAUGGAGCUCUUGGGCAAAUGAAAAGUGGAACCUAAAAUUUACCUUGUAACAUUUUUAAAGGCCAUUAUCUGUGGACCCCCAAGAUCGGCAGCCCAGCCAACAAGAUUCACAUCUUGCUUGCAUGACUUGCCCUGAUGGGAUCCCCCUGAAAUGUAUCUCAAAUACAAGAAACAGCUUCUGGGCUAUUGUAAGUCACAGGUUUUAAAACACUGUUCAAGAAGAAUGGUGACAAAACUUACAUCUUGCAUAGCUUUAGCAUGAAUUUGAUGAACAGUGCACUUUUGUAUUCCAAUCAAUAUCAAAUACACCUCUUAGUUUAAAAUGUGGUGGUUUGUAUAGCUGUAUAAUCAUUAUAUAAUCAUUGACAUGUAUAGUAUGUUAAUGUUUUGUACAUGAUUUAUUAUUAUUUAAUUUACAUGUAAAUAAGACCAAUUACAUUACUUCAGCUGAGCAGUUUAUUGUUUACUCCAAUAUGUUGAAAUUAUUUGCAGUGGAGUGGGUCGGGUCUUUAUCUAUUAAUACAACUAACUUUACUUGGUAUCAGUAUUAUAACUUCUCAAGUGUCAUGGAUUUUGUCAAAACAAUAUAUAUAUUGUAUUUUUGAAGAUGGAAAAAAUGGAAAAAAUAAUGUGAAAUGUCACUUUUUUACACUUUAUCCUCUCAGCAUUUCUUAUUGGUGAUAAUUAUAUUUGUACUUUUGCCAGCUGGGGGUUUAGGCAAACCUUCUGAAAUCUGUUUAUGAACCUUUCAGCAGUGUUGUCAUUUAUCCAUCAGCAUUCACUCCAUUUAAUCUGGGCCCCUCAGCUGUGCACUGCAGCCCCUGUUGUGACUGAUCGGCCUGCAUGAGUGCUCCCAGCAUCUCCCGUCGCAUCACAUUUGCAUAAAAUAGGACGGAUAACCAAAUCAGAGCCCAGAAAUGAAAAUGCUCAGCACCGUGCCUGUCACAGUUGUUGUUCAACUAAUUGUGAAAAAUUUGAUUAGCUGGAUUUUCGCUGUUUAUCAUUAAGACUCCCCCAAAUUUCCCUUGGCUUGUACUUCCCAACAUGUAGCUUUUAAACACAAAGUACCCUCAACCCUCCCUUGGGAUUACUUUCCCUGCCCACCAGCUUUUACUGCUGGCACAUUCACUUGGCUACAUUAGGUCCACGUUGCAGGCAAACACAAUUAAUAAAUGGGAAGAGACAGCCAUUGCACUUACAAUUAUUUUUUUAUUUAUUUUUUUUAAACCAACUCGGUACAAAGAACAGCAAAAGCUUUUACUUGCGGUAAUUAUUAUUUUUUUUAAUUACUGUAUUGUGAAAAUAGCAUGGGAGGUAAAAUAAAAGCAAGUACAAAUGCUUCUGCUUAAAACUUUGGUUUAGUUGUAUGAAGUUUGUUUACUGUAAGAAGGUAGCUUCAAGGUAGUUCAGUUUGGUAUUUUUAUAUUUAUUUUAUUAGAAUGAUACAAUAUUGGAAAGGAAGGUAAUAUUUGAAUUUUGACUACCAUGGUGUAUAGAAAUUGAAUCUCCACUUUAUUUUUCUCAUGUUUGAGUUAUAUGUGCCUCCACUUGUGCAGUUUUGCUAAUUUCAUGGCAAUUUGUUUUUUCUACUUUGAAUCCAAAUCAAGACACUGGAUUUAUUUGCUGGUACCAACCUCAAUGUGUCCAGAACUCAAUUCCUGCGUAAUUAUGCACUGCAUUGAGAGACAUCAUAUCAUUACAUCAGAAGCCCAUAUGAAAAGUCUCUAUAUCUGUUUAAAAAUGUCUGGAACUUGGGAUGAAAUAUUUCAUCCUCAAUUCAUGUGCUGUGCAUUAUUGCUGCUGGUGUAUCCAGUUACACAAAGUGUGUGAAAAAAACAAGUGAACUUUAAGUAUUGUAAUAGAUUACACAAAGUCCUAAGGAUAUGAUCUUGGUAUGUAUGGCUAAUUACUUAACCUGUUGAUUUUGUAACAGUUCAUUAACAAUUGCUCACAUGGUUUGUUAGUUUUAGAAGUGCACUAGUCAAGAAAAUGUGCUCAUAUUUAAUGUAGUAUUUCAACAUUUGCAAUAUUUUAGACUCAAUGGCGGUAUCUUUUAAGCUUUUAGUUUUAUUAAUUUUGUUUGCUUAUUUUAGGUAUAGAAAAAUGCAUUUAAACUGUGCUUAUACUUUGAAGAAAGGAAGUAGUUUGGGUAAUUCAAUGAAAAUAAAAAGUUCACGGGAUGUUUUAUAGUCUGUUUUCUGUCUUGACAUGCUCUGUACAAUUUGCAAAUUUGACAUAUUAUUUUAAUUAAUCCCAGUUUUAAGGUGUCUGCAACAGAAGCUUGACAAAUGUAACAAUGUCAGAUUCUUACUUUAUCAUAAGAGACACUCAAGCAUUUAAUAGGGUGGAUUUAUGUGGUGUAGUUUAUUUCUUAUGGUCACUCAGCAGCUCUCCCCAAAGACAACAUUAAAAAUGUGAUUAGUUAGCUUUCAUCAAUAACACAAAAUAAGAAAACACUGAAGUGACAGGUUUGCAGAGACCACAGCACAGUGUGUAGUAAACAAUAUAUGGCCUAAUAAGUUUACAUUUGCAGGCUCAUUUGUUAAAACUCUUGAAUUUCUAAUUUGUGUCGACAAGAUAAAUGGAUGAAGCCUUUGUAAUGUGUGAGAUUAAUACUGAUGGAUGGGGGAAGUGUUUUUUUUUUGUGUUUUUUUUUUUUUUUUGCAAGCGUUUUGGUUCCAUGUGAUCCAGUAGGCUUUUCCUUAAAGCAUUUCUCUCUCUCUCUCUCUCUCUCUCUCUCUCUCUCUCUCUCUCUCUCUCUCUCUCUCUCUCUCUCUCUCUCUCUCUCUCUCUCUCUCUCUCUCUCUCUCUCUCUCUCUCUCUCUCUCUCUCUCUCUCUCUCAUACUUAAUACAUAUUUCAGUAAAUGAACCAGCCUUAUAUCAUAUCUUGUCAUCUUGAAAUAGUUGUAUCUGUUUUAGAAAAACAUAUACUGUAUUUGUUUAUGAAUGCAACAAAUGUUAACAUCUGGUAAAUAACCUGUGUGAGAAGCAAUGUCAUGUAAAAUGAUGUAAAUAAGUGAAGACAAAUGCUUGUACUGUAAUUUAGCUACUAUUACCAGCUAUUUCGAGAAAUUAAAUGAAAUAUCUAAUUGU